rnacentral:lncRNA from 1 species
AAGAUUGACUCCUUCUAGUUCUAAUCCUAUGUAGCUAUGCUAAUCUAGAUGUCUAAUUGAUGUGGUGGCCCUAAUCUUGAUCAGGGGCUUCUUCUCCCUUGAAGAACAAUGAAUUAGGGUUGAGAGGCUCCCUCCUCCAGGGGCCAGGGGGUCUGGUUUUAUAGUCCCUUCAAGUGAAUAUGGGCCGUUGGAUCAAACCGACAUAGAUUGUAUGGUUUAGAUUCAUCCUUUAGGUCGGUGGAAAUCUCCCGCAAAGCAGAGUCCUGAUUGGACUCAGAGGCAGGGCGGGCGCCCAGGGUCUGGCCCCGUUUCGCCUCCGCUUCGGUCUCGUGGCUUCUGGAGUCUUCUAGAUGUAAGAUAAUUGCGCGUCACGUUAAUAUCUUUACGUAAUCCCGACGUGUGGGUCUUUCUUCCGUAUUUCCUGAUAACUCCCUGCAGAAAUAGACAAACACCAAAACUCGUGGAAUUCUGUCAGAUAAAACCCUAAGUCUAGAUGUUGAUUUCAUUUGGAUCCUUUUCUUUGUUUAUUUGAUAAUUAAAUUUGAUACUUAAGGACCGUCAACAAACUCCCCCAAGCUUACCUCUUGCUCGUCCCUGAGCAAGGAUAGACUCAGCUAUGGAUCAUAAGUUGUUGCAAUAUAUUUAAAAAUUGACGGUACACAUGCUUUUUAAAUAAGAUCUCAUCUCUAAGUUAGAGUAAACUGUCAAGACUUAAAACUUACUUACUUUACCUUCACCAUGGGACUUGUAACUGUCACUUCUAUCUUGAGUAGUUAAACGAUAGAACAGUCUAGUCAAGUGCCAUGUCUCUUAUUCUUGAUCAGCUAUAGCUCUGGGGUUUUUGCAGAUUUUCAAAUAAAACUCAGAGAUUCCUUGUAUGACUCUCUCAGAUCUCUCUUUUGUGGUAUUUCUGGAUCCUUACCAAGGCAGUAAUGGUAUAUGCCUUCUCACAAUAUAUGUGGUAUUUGUGGUAUAAAGCAUAGUGACAUUGCCUUCUCUCUCACCCUACUCUAAUAAGGCUUUAAUAUCUGGAGCUCAUAGGUGGGAGAUAAAGUAUACAUACUUACAAGACAUGUAUUGUAUAGUCAAACCAUGGAUCCAAAGAAACAAAUCAAUAAGCCAAAUCAAGAUGUGCAUGUGUGGCGAAUGAAUGAUGUAUGGUGGUGAUGGUGAUAACAAUGGUGAAAACAAUGGUGGUGGAAGUCUAAUUCUACUUUGCUCUUUGAGGGGAUACAUACCUUCCUUGCUUUUUUUUUGAAUUUAUGAGGAGAAUGAGAUGCUCUUCUUUUUUUCUUUUCUCUCAGGUGGGUAUCUUGUACCCCUAAUUCUACUGUCGGACACUUGUCCAUUUUUACCUCUCGUCUCACUCUCUCUUUUCUUUCGAGGUUCCGAGCACUUGCACCUUUUUAUUUCCUCAUAUUUCUCUUUUUUUUUCUUUUUCUUUUUUUUAGAGCAUUCAUCUCUUGAGAUAAUAUAGCAAGUGGUAGUAACAAGAUAACUUGAGCAUUUAUUUCACAAGGGAAACAUAAAUAUUUUUGGCUAUUCUCUCCCGGAUUAGGAGUAGAAUAUUUUUGGGUGAUUCUGGAGAUGGAAUGGGUGGAUAUAUGUGGAUGGUACUUCCGGAGUAGAAGUAGCAUAUAUGAGUGAACGUACAAGUGAAUCUUGAUUUAACCACAUGACAAGUUCCUAAGGGUCUACACAGCUUGACCACACUCAAUGCUCAUAAGCAGUAAAUAGUAAAUGUGUGGCUCAAAGUCUAGCAAGCAUGUAUAUAUGGCUGUGGUAGGAAUUUAAACUCUCAUCAUACAUGAACUCAUCAUGCAACAUUUUAAAGAUUUUCAAAGAUAAAAUUCUCUAGAAAUCUAGCAUCUCUAGGAACAGAUAAACAGCAGCUCAACCUUCCCAUAUCGUAUCCGUUAACAACUUAGACUUCAGAUCAAAUUUUCAUCCCACAAGUUUAGGUCUAGAGCAAGCUUUAAAUUAUAACAGUUAUAUAUAUCCUUGAGAGUGAACUUAAAAUGUGCAAAUUAGGCAGAGCAACUAUUCAUCAUUUCCAUACUUAAGUUUUAUUUAGAUACAGAUUAGCAUCGCCACUUUAUUUAUUUAUUAAACACACUAAGCAAAAGAUAUAUAUAUAAGCUUAAAAUCUUUAUUUGGUUUUUUAUAGUUUAUGUAUAUUUAAUAUUCUAAUAUAAUAUAAGUAUAAAGAUAGAUAGAAAUACUUAUCGAGAUAAAUGGGGGUGCUCUCUCCCAAGCUGAAUUUUGACGUAAUUUCUCUUGAUGUAGCUAGCAGGUGGCAGAGGUGUAUUUGAAAGUCAGCAGCAUUCUGACAGCGAUUAGAAUGUCCUCCGUCUGCUAGUCUUCUUGAUUCUUAAAUUCUGCGGAGCUCAAAUAGACAACAAAGCUUGUGGAACUGAUUAAGUGUUAGCAUAAAUAUCUAGCCUUUAUCAUCUUGAGACUCCUUAAUAAUUAUUACUCCCUGUUUUUAUAUUUUUAUUUUAUAAAGCAGAAAAGAAAUUUUUAUUUUAUUUUUAUGCCACCACAGUGAAUGUACUUAUGGGUUUUAUGCCACUCGCAUACUCACAUGGGGCUUACUGUUUUUCGCAUUUUUAUUUUCUUUUAUUUUUAAGAUAGUACGAACAUGAUUAACUAAGUAAACUAGUUGAAAUAAUUGAAAAGGAAAGGAUAACUACCAAGUUUACCUCUCGGCAAGGCGUUCGGUGUUUUUUAAGUCCUCCGAACGGGACUCUCCAUUUUUUCAGUAGUCCUGAGGUUCGUUGGUGGUGUAGUCGGUACUUCCAGCGGCGCCUCCUCUUCAUGUAUAGUUAUCUUCAUUUUCCACACCUGACUUGGUGCUUCGGUCUACUCUGGAUAAUUCUGUUUAAACUCUACGUUUUCUGACCUUACAACUUUUCCUUCAUAGUCUGCCCAUCCGUCCUUGAUGAUCUGCCUCCUCUGGUUGCGGUUACGUCUUUUCCUUACCUGCUUAGAUUCUUCAACGAUAUAGUUAGGGUCAGUAAAAUAACGGCGUACCUUCUCUAAGGGGAAGUGCAUAUGGACUUCUCCGGUUCCAAUGUAGAUAAUUGCUUUAACGGUGCUGAGGAACGGUCUUCCAAGGAUGAUGGGUGGAUCGUACUUGUCUUCUCCCAUGUCAAUAACUUGAAAGUCUGUGUAGACAAAGUGAUCGUCUAUUUUGACUGGGACAUCAGUUACUAUUCCUUUAACUUCUCAAAAUGUCUGAUCUGCCAUCUGGAGUUGAAUGUAUGUUGGUCUUAGUGGCAUGGUUCCAAACAAGAGCCGAUAGGUGACUGCGGCCAUUAUGUUGACGCCCGAUCCAGUGUCGCAAAUCAUCUUGAAGAAACUAUAUCCAUUUAUGGAGCAGUAGAUGCUUGGCAUUCCUAGGUCGUCCUUCUUGGUCAAAAGCGGUGACUUAAGUUGGUGAUCUUGGCCUCCAUGAACUACAGUGACCAUCUUAGCUGACUCGGUCCACACUUGCUUGUUCCUGUUCCUCCUGUUGGUCCUCUUCCUUGACUCACGUCUGGAUUGAUCUGGAAUUUUUGUAAUCUUUUUCUUGAAGAAAAAUGUCUCCUUCUUCCCUUUGACGUAGAAACUGAUCUUGGCAGCACUAGCGUAGAUGAUAGCUCCCGUGGUGUUCAAGAAUGGCCUCCCUAAGAUGAUGGGUGCUCUCUCAUCAUUUCCGGUCUUUACCACUACGAAGUCUGCUAGGGCAUACAAGGUACCAACUCGGACGCAAAGGUUCUUCAAUAUUCCCUUUGGAAAAGUUAUCGUCUGAUCUGCAAAUUGCAAACACAUGGUUGUUUCUAAUAAAAGAUAUGUAAAGAAUUUUUCAUAGAGUACCCUGGUUAUAAUGUUGACACUGGAGCCAAAGUCGCAGAGUGCUUCUGGAACGUCCACCAUGCCGAUAGAGAUCGGGAUGACGGGGCGUCCUGGAUCGCCUCUCUUGACCGGCAGAAGGUCAGUAGAGAAUUUAGUGACGGGGUUACUUCCAAUUACCUGCAUCAAACGUGUCUACAAGAUUUGCAGAUUCUAAUCCUUCCGGUUGUGAUUGUAUACCGGGGUUAGUAGUAGGAACAGCAACAGCUAUUUGAUUUAACUGAGAUUCAAUCAUUUUAUUAAAGCUAAUUUGAUUCUUGAUGGCAGUAGAGAAAUUAUCCAUUCUAUUAUUUAUAUUUUCUAGCAUUUUAUCAUUAGAUGCCAAUUUCUUAGAUAGAUUAUCCAUUAGCUUUCCUUGAUUAGACACUAACUCUCUCAAAGGUGGAAAAUUAUUAGCAUUAUUGUUGUAAGAAUUGUUACCUUGAUAAUUACCUGAGUAGUUAGGCCUCUGUUGAUUCCAACCUUGAUUUUGUUGAGGACGGUUGUAGUAGUUGUUGUUGUUGAUGAUGUAGUUCACAUCCUCAAGCAUCUCAGGGCAGUGGUUGCCUGAGUGUCCAGUGUCUCCACACUCCUCACAAGUCAUGUGAGAGUCGUAGAUGUGCAUAACUUCUUUCUUGUCUCCAACUCUAUCAUCGAGCUUCUUCAUGAGCAGGUCUAGCUUUUGCAGACAGCAUGUCUACAUCUUUCAGCUGAUGCAUACCUCCACCUCUCUUGCGUGUCUGGGUCCUCUCUUCAUUCCAGCUUUGGUUGGACGCCAUCUUCUCCACAAGAGCUGUGGCUUGUGGUAUUGUAAGUGAUAAGAAUGCUCCUCCAGCUGCAGCAUCCAUGGUCUCUCGGGCACUGUUGCCGAGCCCAUGAUAAAACGUCUGCAUUAAUAGCCAACUCUCCAUUCCAUGAUGGGGACAUUCUAGGAUGUAGUCUUGAAAGCGCUCCCAUGCUUCUGGAACAAAUUCAUCAUUUUGUUGCUGAAAACUUGUAAUCUUCCCACGGAGAGCAUUGGUCUUGCCCAUGGGAAAGAACUUAGCCAAAAAGUUUGUUGAGCAGAGUGCCCACGUAGUAUUCUUCUCCUUUGUAGCGUAGAACCACUGCUUCGCUCUUCCUCACAGUGAGAAUGGGAAGAGGCGAAGUAGUAUAGCAUCUUUGGGAACUCCUGAUAUGGUGAAUGUGUUGCAAAUCUCCAAGAAGUGUUGUAAAUGAGCACUAGCAUCUUCGUGUGCCUUCCCACAGAACUGGUUGGAUUGCACCAUGUUGAUAAGUCCAGGCUUGAGCUCAAAGUUGCCAUCGAUCUCUGCAGCAGGUCCAGUGCGGAUGUUGUCCGUAGUGGGAGCUGAGAACUCGCGGAUUGAUUUGUUCGCCAUGGCUUCAAACUCUGAAGACAAGUUCCGGUGAUCUUCUUGAUUUGGAUGAAGCUUCUUGCUGAAGUGUUGAUGAUUUCUUUAGCUUGGCUCUCGUCUUCUUGAAUAAUGCUUCGGGAUUAUUAACAAAAUUUCCUGGAAGAUGUCUUCUAUUCAUACAUUCCCCUGCAUAAGAUGAAAUAGGAAAAUAUCGGGGUAAAACUGUAUGAGAGAAUAGAUAAGCUCAAUCAUAUUAGUGAUGCAAAUGAUAACUCAAAAUCUUUUAUUCCAUUCCUGAUUAGUAAUCAACCUUCCCCGGCAACGGCGCCAAAAAUGCUUGUUGGGUAUUCUUAACAUCAUUACCAAAAGUAGCUAAGUUCUCUAAAUCUAGUAACGGUGCCAAAAAUGCCAAACCUAUCCCUCACACCACUUAAGCCAAGUUGUCAUCCCCAACAUGAUAUAAGAGACGCGGUAUUGAAAUAUGCAAUUGCUCUUCUAAAUAAAUAAUGAAUGGGAUCUGCAAGCGCACAGAUUAAUACCGAUGCAGCAUUUUAACCGGGAAGUAUUCCAGGUAUCGUUAUUUAUAUUUUUACCACUGGGAAGGGAUUAGCAAUCAUCAAUAUUGAUUACAGAAUAGAAUAUGAGAUUGAGCAUCUAUCAUUGCAUGUAUAAUUGAGAACAUUAUAUCUAACUCAUCAUACAGGGAUAAGUGUCACAUAAAAGAUAUAUGAAAUAGUGAAUAGUGACAAGGAUAAUUAAUCUGAUCUAGCCACAUAAUAAAUAUGAUAAGCACCUCAAUUAGAUACUCUAGAAAGUCAUUAGCAUGGUAUUAGAACGAACUACAUGAAUAUUCCCUAAGUUAUUCUCAACUAUAUAGUCUAGCAUUAUCAUAAUUAGUGCAAGCAUACUUAGCAAUCAUCGCGAGACAAGACUACGCCCAUGCAUAGUGAUAUUAGCAAGGAAUAUGAGAAACAUAGCAAUCACUCCCCUUUAAUAAUGUUGCUCUGCCAACCCAAUACACGAGAGGGGGACUAUAUAAGAAUCAAUGAAGCUGUCACUAUCACGAACUACCCCACGAUCUGGCAUAUUGGGUACAAUCACAGAUAAAUACGGUAUAAGCACCACGCCUACACAAUAUCUAUCAUUUACCCAUGGAUCCGAUGGAUAAACGCUAUACGAUCCUAAGCAUGUAUAUAGAUCGAAUCUAACUAAGCCAAGUACAUAACUAUGAUAAACUAAGAACAAUAUAAUCUUGAAUAUAAGCAAGUAGAGCAAAGUCAUAAGCAAUAUAUUGAAGUAGAACAAAGUCAUAUUCAUAAUAUUGAAGAACAAAGAUAAUUAGAAGGCAAUUAGAAGCACAAUUAGAGAAUUACCAAGAAUCCUCUUGACAGAUCCGGAAACCAAUCGAAGAUUGACUCCUUCUAGUUCUAAUCCUAUGUAGCUAUGCUAAUCUAGAUGUCUAAUUGAUGUGGUGGCUCUAAUCUUGAUCAGGGGCUUCUUCUCCCUUGAAGAACAAUGAAUUAGGGUUGAGAGGCUCCCUCCUCCAGGGGCCAGGGGGUCUGGUUUUAUAGUCCCUUCAAGUGAAUAUGGGCCGUUGGAUCAAACCGACAUAGAUUGUAUGGUUUAGAUUCAUCCUUUAGGUCGGUGGAAAUCUCCCGCAAAGCAGAGUCCUGAUUGGACUCAGAGGCAGGGCGGGCGCCCUGACCAACUGGGCGGGCGCCCAGGGUCUGGCCCCGUUUCGCCUCCGCUUCGGUCUCGUGGCUUCUGCAGUCUUCUAGAUGUAAGAUAAUUGCGCGUCACGUUAAUAUCUUUACGUAAUCCCGACGUGUGGGUCUUUCUUCCGUAUUUCCUGAUAACUCCCUGCAGAAAUAGACAAACACAAAAACUCGUGGAAUUCUGUCAGAUAAAACCCUAAGUCUAGAUGUUGAUUUCAUUUGGAUCCUUUUCUUUGUUUAUUUGAUAAUUAAAUUUGAUACUUAAGGACCGUCAACAAACUCCCCCAAGCUUACCUCUUGCUCGUCCCUGAGCAAGGAUAGACUCAGCUAUGGAUCAUAAGUUGUUGCAAUAUAUUUAAAAAUUGACGGUACACAUGCUUUUUAAAUAAGAUCUCAUCUCUAAGUUAGAGUAAACUGUCAAGACUUAAAACUUACUUACUUUACCUUCACCAUGGGACUUGUAACUGUCACUUCUAUCUUGAGUAGUUAAAAGAUAGAACAGUCUAGUCAAGUGCCAUGUCUCUUAUUCUUGAUCAGCUAUAGCUCUGGGGUUUUUGCAGAUUUUCAAAUAAAACUCAGAGAUUCCUUGUAUGAUUCUCUCAGAUCUCUCUUUUGUGGUAUUUCUGGAUCCUUACCAAGGCAGUAAUGGUAUAUGCCUUCUCUCAAUAUAUGUGGUAUUUGUGGUAUAAAGCAUAGUGACAUUGCCUUCUCUCUCACCCUACUCUAAUAAGGCUUUAAUAUCUGGAGCUCAUAGGUGGGAGAUAAAGUAUACAUACUUACAAGACAAGUAUUGUAUAGUCAAACCAUGGAUCCAAAGAAACAAAUCAAUAAGCCAAAUCAAGAUGUGCAUGUGUGGCGAAUGAAUGAUGUAUGGUGGUGAUGGUGAUAACAAUGGUGAAAACAAUGGUGGUGGAAGUCUAAUUCUACUUUGCUCUUUGAGGGGAUACAUACCUUCCUUGCUUUUUUUUUGAAUUUAUGAGGAGAAUGAGAUGCUCUUCUUUUUUUCUUUUCUCUCAGGUGGGUAUCUUGUACCCCUAAUUCUACUGUCGGACACUUGUCCAUUUUUACGUCUCGUCUCACUCUCUCUUUUCUUUCGAGGUUCCGAGCACUUGCUCCUUUUUAUUUCCUCGUAUUUCUCUUUUUUUUUCUUUUUCUUUUUUUUAGAGCAUUCAUCUCUUGAGAUAAUAUAGCAAGUGGUAGUAACAAGAUAACUUGAGCAUUUAUUUCACAAGGGAAAACAGAAAUAUUUUUGGCUAUUCUCUCCCGGAUUAGGAGUAGAAUAUUUUUGGGUGAUUCCGGAGUAGAAGUAGCAUAUAUGAGUGAACGUGCAAGUGAAUCUUGAUUUAACCACAUGACAAGUUCGUAAGGGUCUACACAGCUUGACCACACUCAAUGCUCAUAAGCAGUAAAUAGUAAAUGUGUGGCUCAAAGUCUAGCAAGCAUGUAUAUAUGGCUGUGGUAGGAAUUUAAACUCUCAUCAUACAGGAACUCAUCAUGCAACAUUUUAAAGAUUUUCAAAGAUAAAAUUCUCUAGAAAUCUAGCAUCUCUAGGAACAGAUAAACAGCAGCUCAACCUUCCCAUAUCGUAUCCGUUAACAACUUAGACUUCAGAUCAAAUUUUCAUCCCACAAGUUUAGGUCUAGAGCAAGCUUUAAAUUAUAACAGUUAUAUCUAACCUUGAGAGUGAACUUAAAAUGUGCAAAUUAGGCAGAGCAACUAUUCAUCAUUUCCAUGCUUAAGUUUUAUUUAGAUACAGAUUAGCAUCGCCACUUUAUUUAUUUAUUAAACACACUAAGCAAAAGAUAUAUAUAUAAGCUUAAAAUCUUUAUUUGGUUUUUUAUAGUUUAUGUAUAUUUAAUAUUCUAAUAUAAUAUAAGUAUAAAGAUAGAUAGAAAUACUUAUCGAGAUAAAUGGGGGUGCUCUCUCCCAAGCUGAAUUUUGACGAAGUCAGCAGCAUUCUGACAGCGAUUAGAAUGUCCUCCGUCUGCUAGUCUUCUUGAUUCUUAAAUUCUGCGGAGCUCAAAUAGACAACAAAGCUUGUGGAACUGAUUAAGUGUUAGCAUAAAUAUCUAGCCUUUAUCAUCUUGAGACUCCUUAAUAAUUAUUACUCCCUGUUUUUAUAUUUUUAUUUUAUAAAGCAGAAAAGAAAUUUUUAUUUUAUUUUUAUGCCACCACAGUGAAUGUACUUAUGGGUUUUAUGCCACUCGCAUACUCACAUGUACUUAUGGGUUUUAUGACUUUCCUUACCGUUCCUAUGUGUUUCCCUCUUGAUUCCCUUUUUUGACUCCCUGGCAACGGCGCCAGAAAUGCUUGUUGACACUAGCUAACACCACUUAGAUACUAUGUUGUCAUCCCCAGCAUGGUGCCAGAGUGUACAAAGGUAUUUAUGAAUAUGGAGGCUCUCUAGAAAAUAAUCUAUUCUAUCCACAUGCGCACAGAUAAAAUACCUCAUUGUAGCAUUUCACCAGGAAAGUAUUCUAGGUAUCGUUAUUUAUAAUUUUGCUUAAGACAACAAGGGUGAAAUUAAGAUAAGGAUAAAAUCUAUCAAGGCAUAGACUAGAGAUAAACUUGCAACAACAUGAUUACUAAUGAGGAACUCGUCACACAGUCACUUAUUUUGGCAGGGGGUAAGCCAUAAUAAUAAUGAUAAUGAAAUAUAAGCCCAUGGGUAAUUAACACAGCGAUUAGAAAAUAGACUACUCCUGGUGACGUCGGAUUAGCUAGAGAAUGGAUUCUAAGUUAUCUACUAUCUACUAAGUCACAAUCUACUCUAGUUAUCUACAAGAUCAUAUAUAGCAUAAAACACUCUUCAUUUAUGUAUAAGGAACAUUGCUAAAGUAAAUCAGAGCAUUGCAAGACUUACUCCGCAAUACAAAUUCUGCCAGUCCUAUCAACGGAGGGUGGACUAUAUAAGAAUCAACGAAGCUGUCACUAUCACAAACUACCACACAACCCGACUAAUAGGAUACAUUUGCAGGUAAAUAACAUCUAAGCACCACGCCCACAUGUGAUCUACCACUUAACUCCCACGUGUCAAGAGCUAAGUGCUUUGCAAACUUAUACAUAAACUCAUUAUUAAUCAUAACUAUAUCAAACAUAGAACU